GCGGGAAUAGCUCAGUGGUAGAGCGCCACCUUGCCAAGGUGGAUGUCGCGGGUUCAACCCCCGUUUCCCGCU
rnacentral:tRNA from 1 species